AUGAAGGUGGUUUUCCCAGGGCGAGGCUUAUCCAUUGCACUCCGGAUGUGCUGACCCCUGCGAUUUCCCCAAAUGCGGGAAACUCGACUGCAUAAUUUGUGGUAGUGGGGGACUGCGUUCGCGCUCUCCCCUGACUUUAGCGGUUUAAAAAUAGACGUUUCUCCUUUAGAGCCUCCAGUAGGCGCUGCGUAAGCGCUAUAUAUUUGGUUUAGUAUAGACAUAAGUUGACUACUUUUUGUUUGUCAAGUCUCCAGUCCUGACUGCAUGCACACGCUGUAAAUGACGAUAAACCUAAAGCCUUUCUCAACCCACAGUCCCCCUCUCAGGUACAAACUGGGCAAGUCGGCUGGCUCUGACUGCAGCCCCGCAAAGACAGCUUCCUACAACUGCCCUAGUUUGGUUCUCUGUUUCUGUGAUAAACACCAUGACCAAAAGCAACUUGUGAAGUGUUUGAAGAAUGCCCCUGUUCGAGUGCAAUGCCACUUCAUGAAUCUUGGCAGAUUGCAGGGCCACAACUCCUAUCGUGGAAGAUCAGACGGCCAGGUACUUCAUGUCUGUCUCCACACCCUGUAGGCUUGAGCACAUGCUGAUCUGAGAGUCAGAGUCAAGAAAGAUGUCAUUCACUCUGGCAGCAUCGAAUGUCGGCAGUGGCAGCACACAGUGUCCAGCACAUGGUGCCAACAGCUGUGACAAGCCAGACAAUCCCAAAGUAAGAAAAAAGCUGCAAAUUUAUGAGAGCCCUCAUCCAGUGGCUGAAGGAAGCAGAGACAGACAUCCACAGAUAUACACUGAGCUGAAAUCUGGAAUUUAGUUGAAGAGAGGAAGGAAUGAAGAUCGAAGGGGUCUGUACCAGGUUGGAGAAACCCACAGGAACAGUUGGCCUGAACAAGAAAGAGCACAUCGACCCCAGAUGCUGUCUGGGAGGCCAGUACAAGACUGAUCCAGACCCCUGAACAUGGAUGUCAAUAAGGAGGCCUCAGCCCUCCAAGGAGCCUCUGGUAGUGGAUUAGUAUUUUUCCCUGGUGCAAGAAGGGACUUUGAGAGCCCAUCCCACAUGAAGGGAUACACUCUGGCCCUGGACACAAGGGGAAGGGCCCAG
rnacentral:lncRNA from 1 species